GCGGACGUGGCGGAAAUGGCAGACGCGCCAGACUAAGGAUCUGGUGGGAUAAAACCCGUGGAGGUUCGAUUCCUCUCGUCCGCA
rnacentral:tRNA from 1 species